rnacentral:tRNA from 1 species
GGACCGCUGGCGCAACGGCAGCGCGUUCGAUUCCAGAUCUUCGUACAAAAUCGAAAGGUUAUGAAAAUAUAUCUUCAAUUUCAGAUCGAAUGGUUAUGAUAAUAAUCGAAAGGUUAUCCGUUCAAAUCGGGUGUGGUUCA